UACGUAGGGUGCGAGCGUUGUCCGGAAUUAUUGGGCGUAAAGAGCUCGUAGGCGGUCUGUCGCGUCGAUCGUGAAAACUUGGGGCUUAACCCUGAGCUUGCGGUCGAUACGGGCAUGACUGGAGUUCGGCAGGGGAGACUGGAAUUCCUGGUGUAGCGGUGAAAUGCGCAGAUAUCAGGAGGAACACCGGUGGCGAAGGCGGGUCUCUGGGCCGGAUGACUCUGAGGAGCGAAAGCGUGGGGAGCAACAGG
rnacentral:rRNA from 1 species